UCAAAUGGGAAAAGUAGUAAGGGUAAUUUCACAGUUCUAGGUGUUUUCACUAUUCAUUUGUUUAACUCUUUAAGUGUGUUUUUAAUUGUAAC